AGCUGUGAUGAGUAGGAUGUAGUAUGAGCUGGUAUUGCAAGGGUUAAACCUGCAUUGACCAGUAAAGGAUCAUGUGAUCUUCUCUCUGAGCUG